rnacentral:misc_RNA from 1 species
GUGAAUCAUCGAAUCUUUGAACGCAAAUUGCACUCUCUUCGGAGAGUAUGCCUGUUUGAGGGUUAGCCUAAAAAAAAAAAUCGACAUAGUCGCUGUUUCGCGGUGACAUUCGUCGGAAAUUUGUUCAUCUUAAACCUUUGGGUUUUAAUUGGCUUAAAAUUUUCUUUACGAUUCCACGAACGUUUCUAAAUUUUACUUCUUAUACGUUUAAGGUAUCGAUCUUUAUUAGAAGUGCCCGUUGCAUCGGAUCUCGUCCAUAAAUAUUUCG